GAGAGAGUGAAAAGACUCUUGCGACAAUAGAAAAGAGAGACUCUUGCGGCAAUAGAAAACAAAACGUAGCGUAAUCUUCUGCUUCAACUGUAGGUGGCUGGCCCCGAACAUGGCAAUGUAUCAUUCAUGCACGCUGAGCAAAGAACACAUCGUUUUGCUUCUAAGAGAACAGGCCGCCGCAGUUCAAAGGAACGCGUAGCGAGCGCUCUACUUUUUCACUCGGAGUGGCUCCACCGCGCGCGCGCGCGCUCAAGAUCGCGGAACAACACAGCACCGGAGAAAGUAGAUCCAUCCAGCGAGCAAAGGCCAGCCGAGGGAGAUCGUGUGGCAGCCAUCUCGCGUCGCCACGAAAACACGACAGUCGUUCGUCAUGCCUUGGAUAUAACAACAAAUCCUCCACGGCACCCGCUUUAUAUAACGCAAGAAGGCAGCUGCAAGGACACGAGGAUGUGAAAGAGCCAGUGCAGCGCGACUUCACGUAGUGUAGAGGAGCCAAUGCCAAAAAAUCAAAAUACAUUGGCAUGUUAUUUGGACAAGAAAACUAGUAUGUGGGUAUAUUGGGUGUACCAUUUAACCAAAUGUCAACAAAAUCAAGAUACAGUAUGUUACACGAAGAUGAAAAUUCUCACGUGCUCCAGGCAGUCAUCUUAACAUGGUAUAUUUGUGUAAUGUCUCUAAACGGAAAGUCAAAUCAAGUAUGCUCACUGGAGACAAACACAUAGCAGCAAGUGUCAUUGAAAAGUUAAAAAUGUGUUUUAAGAAAGCUGAUUAGUUCUGAGAAGUGACUGCUUUUUGUCUUGCCUCUCAACACAUAUAUCCAUGUGAUAAAAAAAUAGUGGUACAAUGAAAUUGCAUAUUUCCUUAGCGACAUGAUACAUUCUUGCAAUGAGCACGGUGCCUGUGUUUACUAUAGAAAGCAACAGCCCAUGCUUGGUUAGGUUCGGCCCACUACAACAUGCAGGCAUGGGUGAUUGGCACUUUUUUUAUUUCUGUAUCGUGAGGUUUAUUGACGUGCGUAUAGGUGCAGUGGCACGCAGUAUGGCUAGUACAAAAAAAAGGGGGGGGGGGCAGAUAUAUGUAGCUCACUGUACACGAUACAGGGCAAAGGAAAUCCGUGUUCAGCAACUAUGUUAAAUGCCAUGUACGUAAAUUUUACAACGCUACUCGUUCGAAGCGCGCACAGGUGCAUAUUGAAGAAAAGUUUCCAGGGUAGAUAAUUUAGUUCGUAAUUUACACUAAUUUUGCUCUAACCACGAGACAUAAUAAUUUGAAUAUACUGCACGGGAAAACCUAGAGCGAAUUAAAUUGUUUGUCAGCUUCGUGUGUAUACAUAUAGUCUUCCCUAUGCAUUAGGUUUUUUGCGUAAUGCAUUAACAGUUGACAGCCUAUCCUAUGAUGUGUACUCUGUUUACAUUACAGUUGUUUAUUAGUUUACUCGUUUGUUUUGCGACUGAUGAAAUGCCGGCAUAUAUAUAUUUUCAACAUCUGACAUAACCCUGUAUGUUUUGCAGGGACAACCCAGGACGUGCAUUUCUCAGCACCCAGUCAACUGCCAAAAGUGACUCAAACACAGGCCACCAGUGGAACUCGGCUGUACCACUGCAGUGCUGCGGAAAUUGCCUUCACCAGCGGCUUUGCAACAGCUGUUUCGCAGCAUGUCGGAGACAAUGCCUACGAAAUUAUUGGCCCUGAUCAUGAGAGCCCUCAAGGGGCAAACAACAUCUCUGUUGCAGAAGUGAGCCCGGUACCACUUGGAAGUUACCAUGACAGAUGACACGGCAGCAAUAGAUACAGAGACUGCCACGUCUACUGCAGCUGCAACAGUGUACGAGGCAAGCAGCAGCGCGUCAGCAGCAGUGUCAGAAGGAACCACACCAGGCCUGGUAGAGCAACAUGUGUGCUAUCACUGACUUUUUUUGUAGUGGAUACAACUCAUUUGCUCAACAUACAAAAGCUUUUCACCACGACUGUGAGCCAGUGUUAUUGUGCAGCAAGUGCAAGACUAUGUUAAGUGUUAUAACACAGUACAAGCAUCACUUUAACAUAUGAAAACAUAUUACAGUUGUUGCCUCCCCAGCCAGCCCACAUAGCCACAACAAUGUUGAACACAUGGUGGGACACACAUCUUCUCCAUUAAAAGAUAGUAGAGACUGUCAGUGUUGUUGUUAGAUUAACUGGUCUUUGUAGGCAACUAGGACAACACAGGUGUCAUAAGAUUGUUGUUGAUGUUGUUGAAGAGGUAAAAAAGAAGUUUGAUGCAGCUGAAGUGCCAACUGAUAUUGAGCAAAUCAAAAGCAACCACCUGAGAAAGCAACACUAUCGAAAUUUGGGUAUCUAUGUGCCGCCAACUCUGGUAAGAAUGGCAUAGGACAGAAGUGUGAUGAAAAUCACACAGACACUGCUGUUGCAUCACUGGCCACAGUGAGCAGCGACUUGUAGGGCAAGAGAGUCAACUGAAACUAACAUUAUGAUAUAGUGUCAUGCUCCCAUGUGACCACUUUUCAAGUUAUUUUGCAAGAUACAGCUCAACCUCCAGAAAUAAGACUGCAAGUUGUCUGUAAAAAAGCUUUCACAAAAAAUUAUUCAUAACACUAUUAACAUAGCAGUAUCUUUUUUUUUUGUGUCGGUUCGAGGUUCCCGGCUGUCCAUUAAUGCAAAAAUUGAGGAAAAAAAGAACAUGUGUCGUACUUACACCUUUUUAACAGGUACGAGGGGGACAGAACUUUUCUAGUCAUGCAUCUUCAUCAUACUAUCAAGUUUUUAAAUGCCUUUUAUAAUUAUUAUUACCAGUUAUAUCUGAGUGCAUUGUAUGCAUGUAGCAGGUGUAAAAUCAGGUCAGUUGGAUCAGAUGCCUUAUCUGCAAGCGAGCCCUAUAUUCAAGAAAUUUGAAAUAAGAUAGUUACGUUAGAGACGCAGUCUUUCAGCACUUUAUUGCCUGUGGUUUAAGCAUUGCUCAAUACUUUUGUGGGUGGCAAUUUCAACCGGCACAGCACUGCGCUUUGCCAGUCACAUUUGUCUUCAAAGCGGUGUUUACCAUUUGUGUUGAUCUGUUUGUGUAUGCAUAGAGCAAGUUUUUAAUUUAUAUUUUCCUGCAUUCUUGUGCUUGCACUAAGCUUGUAUAAGGCAGUUACAAAAUGUGCGGCACUAUAACGAACUGUUCUGUUGAGCUUACACUUGCAAAUAAUCGUGUUCAGAUGGCCGCACUUCUAUGCGGGUGCACCGCUAGCUUUGUGUAUGUUCUCAUGUUUGUAUAAAGCUUAUAUAAGCUAGUUAGAAAAUGUAUGUCACUAAGCAUUGUGAUAUUCUUUAAAGAACUGCUUGGUUGGUUUUACACUUGUGAAUUAGUAUUGAGGCGGUGGUAUUCCCAUGUAUGCCCACUGCUAGCUUUCUGUGUCCUCACGUGUUUGUAUUAAGUUUCUACAAGGGAGUUACAGCAUGUACGUCACUAAGCGCUGUGAUAUUUUUUAAAGAACUGCUUUGUUGGUUCUACACCUGUGAGUAAUAGUACUCGUGUGGCACUAGUCAUGUGUAGGUACACAGGGACCAUUUGUAUACAUUAUGCUCAUGUAAAGCAGUUACAAAGUGUAUGUCACUAAUUACUGUGAUAUUUGUUGAAUUGCUGUGAUGGUUUUACACAUGUGAAUAAUAAUGGUCAGGACACAGUACUUGCGGUGUAUAGUUGAAUUUAUACACUGCCAAGACAUGGGCUGUAUACGUACCAAAAGAAAUGUAUGUCAUUAUAUUGUUGUGAUUAUUACUGUUUGGAUUUCAUUAAACUGUAAUAAAAUUGUUUCUUGUA